AACGCGAAGAACCUUACCUACCUUUGAAUCCACGGAAUUCUGCAGAGAUGUGGAAGUGCCUUCGGGAACCGUGAGACAGGUGCUGCAUGGCUGUCGUCAGCUCGUGUCGUGAGAUGUUGGGUUAAGUCCCGUAACGAGCGCAACCCUUAUCCUUAGUUACCAGCGAGUAAAGUCGGGGACUUUAAGGAGACUGCCGGUGAUAAACCGGAGGAAGGCGGGGAUGACGUCAAGUCCUCAUGGCCCUUACAGGUAGGGCUACACACGUGCUACAAUGGCCGGUACAAAGGGAAGCGAUCCUGCGAAGGGGAGCAAACCUCAAAAAGCCGGUCGUAGUCCGGAUUGGAGUCUGCAACUCGACUCCAUGAAGUUGGAAUCGCUAGUAAUCGUGGAUCAGCACGCCACGGUGAAUACGUUCCCGGGCCUUGUACACACCGUGUCGA
rnacentral:rRNA from 1 species